GGAACACAUGAAAUCACAUUCUACUGAGAGUUUCAAGUGUGAAAUACGCAAUAAAAAGUAUCUUCUGGAGAGCACACGGAAACAGCACCUAAAUUGAACUACCCUGAAGUAGUUGGUAACUGGGAAAGAACUAGGAAAAAAAAUUCAUGUAUAUCAGUACUGUGGGAAACGGUUUGACGAUUUUGAACAUUUUAAAGAACAUCUUUGAAAACAUACAAGGGAAAAACCUUUUGAAUGUCCAAAUCAUCAUCAAUGAUUUGCUAGAAAUAGCAUCCUCAAAGGUCACCUCACUGCAUGCCAAACUGGAGUAGGGACAAAAAAAAGAAAGAAGCUCUAUGAAUGCCAGGUUUGUGACAGU
rnacentral:lncRNA from 1 species